AAAGGAAUAGACGGGGGCCCGCACAAGCGGAGGAACAUGUGGUUUAAUUCGAUGAUACGCGAGGAACCUUACCCGGGCUUGAACUGCUGAGGAAUGAGUCAGAGACGGCUCAGCCGCAAGGUCUCAGUGGAGGUGCUGCAUGGUUGUCGUCAGCUCGUGCCGUGAGGUGUCGGCUUAAGUGCCAUAACGAGCGCAACCCUUCUCCUCGUUUGCCAUCAGGUAAUGCUGGGCACUCCGGGGACACUGCCAUCGUAAGAUGUGAGGAAGGUGGGGAUGACGUCAAAUCAGCACGGCCCUUACGUCCGGGGCUACACACGUGUUACAAUGGGAGGUACAGAGGGUCGCUACCCGGUGACGGGACGCUAAUCCUCAAAACCUUUCUCAGUUCGGACUGGAGUCUGCAACCCGACUCCACGAAGCUGGAUUCGCUAGUAAUCGCGCAUCAGCCAUGGCGCGGUGAAUACGUUCCCGGGCCUUGUACACACCGCCCGU
rnacentral:rRNA from 1 species